AGCUUUGUGCAGUGGCAGUAUCGUAGCCAAUGAGGUUUAUCUGAGGCGUGAUUAUUGCUAAUUGAAAAAAAUUGUCGAUACCUUGUUAUGAAGGGGCGGAGCCUAUGAGACUCCACCCCUUCCUGAGGAUGCAGUUACUGGUUGGUA